rnacentral:rRNA from 1 species
AGAGUUUGAUCCUGGCUCAGAACGAACGCUGGCGGCAUGCCUAACACAUGCAAGUCGAACGAACUCUUCGGAGUUAGUGGCGCACGGGUGCGUAACGCGUGGGAAUCUGCCCCUUGGUUCGGAAUAACAGUUAGAAAUGACUGCUAAUACCGGAUGAUGACUUCGGUCCAAAGAUUUAUCGCCAAGGGAUGAGCCCGCGUAGGAUUAGCUAGUUGGUGGGGUAAAGGCCUACCAAGGCGACGAUCCUUAGCUGGUCUGAGAGGAUGAUCAGCCACACUGGGACUGAGACACGGCCCAGACUCCUACGGGAGGCAGCAGUGGGGAAUAUUGGACAAUGGGCGAAAGCCUGAUCCAGCAAUGCCGCGUGAGUGAUGAAGGCCUUAGGGUUGUAAAGCUCUUUUACCCGGGAUGAUAAUGACAGUACCGGGAGAAUAAGCUCCGGCUAACUCCGUGCCAGCAGCCGCGGU